CAAUUCAACAUAUGAUUUGAACGAAAUUUGGUACAAAGAACACUGAGAAUUCACCAAAAAAAUGCAAAUAUCUUCGAUUCGGUUGCAGCGACGUAUUCCCCAAUGGCUGCUGUGACGGCAUCGCACUUCGUCUCGAAUCGCUCACGCUCCGCCUACAACGGAGCUUUUGAUUCCGAGCCGGUGAAGUUCCAGAGCUUCAGGAUUCCCUACUUGAGUAGCCGUGCCGCCGCUCAUGAAGGGCUGAGAUCGAGGAACGUGGUGGAUUCACUUCAAAUGCAGCAGAACUCGAAGGCAUCUUCUGAGAAAGCUACAAGGGGUUCCCGGCGUUCGACUCGUAAGCCCUGGGCUGUUGUUGUGUGUCGAAGUAGAAUGAACUUGGUGUUCGUUGGUGCUGAGGUGGCUCCAUGGAGCAAAACUGGGGGUCUCGGUGAUGUUCUUGGAGGAUUGCCACCGGCCAUGGCGGCUAAUGGACACAGGGUCAUGACUGUCGCACCACGGUAUGAUCAAUACAGAGAUGCGUGGGAUACGAGCAUCAUGGUUGAGUUAAAAGUCGGGGGCAGCAUCGAAACUGUUCACUUCUUCCACUGCCACAAAAAUGGGGUUGAUCGGGUUUUUCUUGAUCACCCUAUGUUUCUUGAGAAGGUUUGGGGAAAAACUGGAGGAAAGAUAUAUGGUCCUCUCGCAGGAACUGAUUAUGAAGACAACCAGAUAAGAUUCAGCCUUCUGUGCCAGGCAGCUCUGCAAGCUCCAAGAGUUCUACAUCUCAACAACAGUUAACACUUCUCUGGACCGUGUGGGGAGGAUGUUGUGCUUGUUGCCAAUAAUUGGCACACUGCUUUACUGCCAUGCUACUUAGAAACCAUGUACCAAUCACACAGCAUUUACAAGAAUGCAAGAUAUGACAAACCUGUGAAAGGAAGGAAAAUUAGGAUGAAAGCUGGAAUCCUAGAAUCAGACAGGUUUGUGACUGUAAGCCCAUAUUACGCCCAAUAGCUUGUCUCAGGGGAAGAAAAGGGUGUUGAGUUGACAACAUCCUGCUGACAGGCAUCACUGGAAUAGUAAAUGGGAUGGACACAAAUGAGUGGAAUCCAUCGACAGACAGAUAUAUAUCUGCAAAUUAUGAUGCAACAACAGUAAUGGAUGCAAAACCUUUCAACAAGGAAGCUUUGCAAGUUGAGGUUAAGCUGCUUGUCGACCGAAACAUCCCUGUUAUAGCCUUCAUCGGACGACUAGAAGAGCAGAAAGGCUCAGACAUUCUAGCUGCAGCAAUUCCAGAAUUCAUUGAUGAAAAUGUUCCAAGUUAUAGUUCUUUGCACCUACAGGGUACCGGCAAGAAGAAAUUGGAGCAACAGCUUGCAUUGCUUGAGAAUAUGUUUCCAGACAAAGUUAGAGCACAUCUAAAGUUCAAUGUUCCUCUGGCUCAUGGGAUCAUGGCAGCUUGUCAUUCCUUUUGUGGCAGUUCUCGAAUGGAAUUCCAAAAUCUUGACCAUUGUGAAAAUUUUCUGCAGCCUCCCAUGUGUGCCACCACUGGCGGACUCGUUGACACUGUCAAAGAAGGCAUCACUGGUUUACAUAUGCGUCCUUUCAAUGUCGACUGUGAUGUCGUCGAUGAGGAUGACAUACAAAAAGUUGUGAAAAUGACGAAGAGGGUGCUCGAGGUCUAUCAAACAGCUGCUUUCGCAAAGAUGAUUCAGAACUGCAUGGACCAAGAUCUCUCCUGGAAGGGACCAGCUAAGAAGUAGGAGCAAUUGUUUCUGAGCCUGGGAAUUGCUGGUAGUGAACGAGGAAUCAACUCGAGGAGAUGGCUCCUCUUGCCAAGGAAAAUGUGGCUACUCCUUGAAUGUGAUCACCAUUAUCGAAGGACUAACAAGCAUUAGCCAUCGACACAAUAGUGCUGAAAUCAGCAUAAGCUCACACUAAAUCCAAGCCUCUUCAUGUUCAGGUGCUCCUCGUAUGUUGUCUGCUCUGGAGAACAUCUUGGAGAGGUGGUGUUGUAUCUAGUUACUACUGCACUUUACUGGGGAAGCCAUCCAAGAUACUACUGCUUGCAACUGUCUUUGUCCAUAGCUGUGUGAGGCCAUCAAUCUUAAGGUAUU